UACCAGCUCUCCGAGUGGUAGGGAUGAUUAUUGGGCUUAAAGCGUCCGUAGCCGGCUUAGCAAGUCUCCUGUUAAACUCAGCGACCUAAUCGUUGAAUCGCGGGAGAUACUACUAGGCUAGGAGGCGGGAGAGGUCGACGGUACUUCUGGGGUAGGGGUGAAAUCCUAUAAUCCCAGGAGGACCACCAGUGGCGAAGGCUGUCGACUAGAACGCGCUCGACGGUGAGGGACGAAAGCUGGGGUAGCGAACCGGAUUAGAUACCCGGGUAGUCCCAGCUGUAAACGAUGCGGGCUAGGUGUUGGGAUGGCUACGUGCCAUUUCAGUGCCGCAGGGAAGCCAUUAAGCCCGCCGCCUGGGGAUACGGCCGCAAGGCUGAAACUUAAGGAAUUGGGCGGGGAGCACCACAAGGCGUGAAGCUUGCGGUUC
rnacentral:rRNA from 1 species